rnacentral:rRNA from 1 species
GACGAACGCUGGCGGCGUGCCUAAUACAUGCAAGUAGAACGCACAGUUUAUACCGUAGCUUGCUACACCAUAGACUGUGAGUUGCGAACGGGUGAGUAACGCGUAGGUAACCUGCCUGGUAGCGGGGGAUAACUAUUGGAAACGAUAGCUAAUACCGCAUAAUAUUGAUUAUUGCAUGAUAAUUGAUUGAAAGAUGCUAUUGCAUCACUACCAGAUGGACCUGCGUUGUAUUAGCUAGUAGGUGAGGUAACGGCUCACCUAGGCGACGAUACAUAGCCGACCUGAGAGGGUGAUCGGCCACACUGGGACUGAGACACGGCCCAGACUCCUACGGGAGGCAGCAGUAGGGAAUCUUCGGCAAUGGACGAAAGUCUGACCGAGCAACGCCGCGUGAGUGAAGAAGGUUUUCGGAUCGUAAAGCUCUGUUGUAAGAGAAGAACGGGUGUGAGAGUGGAAAGUUCACACUGUGACGGUAUCUUACCAGAAAGGGACGGCGAACUACGU